rnacentral:rRNA from 1 species
GACGUAGGGUGCGAGCGUUGUCCGGAUUUAUUGGGCGUAAAGAGCUCGUAGGCGGCUCGUCGCGUCGACCGUGAAAACCCGCGGCUUAACUGCGGGCUUGCGGUUGAUACGGGCGGGCUAGAGUUCGGUAGGGGAGUCUGGAAUUCCUGGUGUAGCGGUGAAAUGCGCAGAUAUCAGGAGGGACACCGGUGGCGAAGGCGGGACUCUGGGCCGAUACUGACGCUGAGGAGCGAAAGCGUGGGGAGCGAACAGG